rnacentral:rRNA from 1 species
UACAGAGGUCUCAAGCGUUGUUCGGAUUCAUUGGGCGUAAAGGGUGCGUAGGCGGCGCGGUAAGUCGGGUGUGAAAUCUCGGAGCUUAACUCCGAAACUGCAUUCGAUACUGCCGUGCUUGAGGACUGGAGAGGAGACUGGAAUUCCCGGUGUAGCGGUGAAAUGCGCAGAUAUCGGGAAGAACACCCGUGGCGAAGGCGGUUCUCUGGGCCGGUACUGACGCUGAGACGCGAAAGCGUGGGGAGCGAACAGG